rnacentral:rRNA from 1 species
AUGUAUGAGCUGUAUGGAUACUGCCUCAGCUUCGACACAACAUUCAAGACAAACAGAUACAACCUCCCAUUUGCUCCCUUUGUUGGUGUCACAGGACAUGGCCAGAACUAUUUGUUUGCUUGCUCUAUGAUAGAGAAUGAAACAGCUGACACCUUUCAAUGGUUGUUUGAGACAUUGUUGCAUUUCAUGGGUGGGAAAUCUCCGUCCACAAUCAUAACAGACGAGGAUGAUGGGAUGAAGACAACUAUUCCUAUAGUUUUCCCGCAUAUCUGCCACAUGCGUUGUUUUGUUUCAUAUUAA